CAUUUCUGCAUUUACCUUAACCCUAAAACAGCCCCCUUCCCUCUCUCUCUCUCUAUCUCUCUUUGUAUUUGGUUGAAAAAUUGGUGAUUUGCUUGGUAUUCAAGCUUGAAAUUGAAGAAUUGUUUGAGGAGUUAUGGCUUGAUCAUUGCAUUGAAGCUUGAGGAUUACCGGCACUUGGUCAGGAGCACCCGGGGAUUUGGAAUCUCCAUAUUUGUGGGACAUCAGGAAAGGGUAAAUCUAUCUCUGAUCAGCCAUGAGUAUAGGAGUUGGGCGAUGUAUGUACAUGUUCGGGCCACACUAGACCAAGCGGGUUGGGGUCUACCAGCGUUGAAACUUUUGUAACUCUAUUUUUGCCGCUUAGGUCGGCUAAGGAGAAAAGACUUGUAAUAUUUUGUAAAAUAAUUUUUUUUGGGAUCCCGAAUCAUGUAACUUUUGUUUGUAAGGUUAAAAUUAUUACAAGUUUAUUUUCAUUC